AAGCGAGAGAACGUUGCCAACGGCAACGGCCCGAAGGGCGAAGCGCGCAGCGCUGAGUCAUCCUUCCCCCACCACCA
rnacentral:sRNA from 4 species